rnacentral:rRNA from 1 species
CCUACGGGGGGCAGCAGUGAGGAAUAUUGGUCAAUGGACGAGAGUCUGAACCAGCCAAGUAGCGUGAAGGAUGACUGCCCUAUGGGUUGUAACCUUCUUUUAUAUGGGAAUAAAAUGUUCCACGUGUGGGUUUUUGUAUGUACCAUAUGAAUAAGGAUCGGCUAACUCCGUUCCAGCAGCCGCGGUAAUACGGAGGAUCCGAGCGUUAUCCGGAUUUAUUGGGUUUAAAGGGAGCGUAGGUGGAUUGUUAAGUCAGUUGUGAAAGUUUGCGGCUCAACCGUAAAAUUGCAGUUGAAACUGGCAGUAUUGAGUACAGUAGAGGUGGGCGGAAGUCGUGGUGUAGCGGUGAAAUGCUUAGAUAUCACGAAGAACCCCGAUUGCGAAGGCAGCCUGCCGCAGCGUUACUGACGCUGAAGCUCGAAAGCGCGGGUAUCGAACAGGAUUAGAUACCCGAGUAGUC